UGCGGGCCCUCUGGGUCCAACCUCCCAUCCGUGUCUAUCUGUACCCUGUUGCUUCGGCGUGGCCACGGCCCGCCGGAGACUAACAUUUGAACGCUGUCUGAAGUUUGCAGUCUGAGUUUUUAGUUAAACAAUCGUUAAAACUUUCAACAACGGAUCUCUUGGUUCCGGCAUCGAUGAAGAACGCAGCGAAAUGCGAUAAUUAAUGUGAAUUGCAGAAUUCAGUGAAUCAUCGAGUCUUUGAACGCACAUUGCGCCCCCUGGUAUUCCGGGGGGCAUGCCUGUCCGAGCGUCAUUGCUGCCCUCAAGCACGGCUUGUGUGUUGGGCUUCCGUCCCUGGCAACGGGGACGGGCCCAAAAGGCAGUGGCGGCACCAUGUCUGGUCCUCGAGCGUAUGGGGCUUUGUCACCCGCUCCCGUAGGUCCAGCUGGCAGCUAGCCUCGCAACCAAUCUUUUUAACCAGGUUGACCUCGGAUCAGGUAGGGAUACCCGCUGAACUUAAGCAUAUCAAUAAGCGGAGGAA
rnacentral:rRNA from 1 species